UACGAAGGGGGCUAGCGUUGCUCGGAAUCACUGGGCGUAAAGCGCACGUAGGCGGAUCUUUAAGUCAGGGGUGAAAUCCUGGAGCUCAACUCCAGAACUGCCUUUGAUACUGGGGAUCUUGAGUCCGGGAGAGGUGAGUGGAACUGCGAGUGUAGAGGUGAAAUUCGUAGAUAUUCGGCAAGAACACCAGUGGCGAAGGCGGCUCACUGGCCCGGUACUGACGCUGAGGUGCGAAAGCGUGGGGAGCAACAGG
rnacentral:rRNA from 1 species